ACUUCGAUUAAAAUAAGCAGCCCAGUUCCACCGCCAAACGAGGAGCUUCUCUUGGCAGUUUUUCUUCCCUCGCCGCUUUGAUUGUAAUCCUCCGGAUAUCUCCCGAACUCUCCCAUCUCUUCAUGUUGUUUCUAUGUAGAGUUCUCCACCAAUCCACUGCCUCAGAAUCCCACAAACGGAACGCUACAUACAUGAUGUUCCAGUCGAACGGACCCUCGCCGCCGACAAGAAGCCACGGAGCAGGAGCAGGAGGCGGCCGCGGCCGCGGCCUCCCCCAACCCCCUGCAACUUCGGCCGGUCGGAUCUGAUGACGUCCACCGCGACGUCCUACUUGGUUGCUCGCCUGGGUCACGGAGAAAAUUCCGCUGGCCCUCCACAUCGGCGGCGGCGACCACGCGCUGCUCGCCUGGGGAAUCGGUGGAGGAGCUGCCUUCGCGACGUCGACGGGUCGUGAGCGGCGACGGAGAGGAGCUGAGCAUGCGAUGGGCGCUUACCUGAGCAAAUCCUUAACCGGCAGCAGCAGCAGCAUGCUUAUCCUCUGUCCUUGUUGAUAAUUUUGGAGAUUUGGAAGCUGCUGCGACCAUCGACGGAGGCCGAGGAGGAGAACGGGGCGUUCCCGUGCCCUUCCAUGGGUGUAUCAGUUUCACACGGAGGAAUGAGCAGAUUAGAGGAAACCGGACAUGCAGGUUUUGCUGGUCAAGGACCUAUCGCCUCAGAGAUUUCAAUGGGAACUCGUUGUGCAUGUUGCUUGAAUCUGGGAAUGCAAAGAUAAGCAGACACGGCAAAAUGUGUACGAGUUAGACUUCAUUGUUGUAGACCAUGAGCUAUUCUUUCACGAUCUUAUCCACCAAACCUAUCUGUGUACGGUUAUUGAUUGGUAAAUAUAUCAUAUCAUUCCACGUUGUGCAUCCCAGGUGCGUGUAAUUUAUUUCCACUUUUCACAGUGUUAAGAAACCACUACUAUAAAUGCUGAUCGAUUAAUGACUCUAGCCAUGUGCUUCGCUUUCUGUACAAAAUAACAGACAUAGUAAUGCUUCUGAAUCUGUGGUUCCCUUAAAUUAUUUUACCUUAUGAUGUUAUUAACAAAUAAUUAUAACAAGUAGUAAUUCAACAAUAUAAGUAUUUAUAUAUGGGUUCACAAAGUGAUGUAUUCUUCUAGCUUACACAAAUUGUUGCUGCUUGCCUUAUGAUUCUUAUCCACAAGAAGUGUUAUCUUUUAACACUUCUACUGCAUCUAUAUGCCUGCAGCUGACUGAAGUCGGAAUAAUGUUAGCUCAUUCAUUUAUGGCUUAAGAAUGGACUUUUGUUAACAACAAACUUUUCUGCUCAUUUGUUUUAACUUUUUUUGAGAUUUUUUCCUACACAUAGUCUUCUCUUUCUAUAUCCAUUUAUGCCAUAUAAGGAUCACUUCUUCAAUAUCUCCUUCCAAAUUCAUUGACAAGUUGCUCUUUUCAGAUUUAUUAAUCCGUUUUCCUGUACAUUGAACUGGUGUCAGCUCUAAGUCCAGGUUCGAAUGAUUCUAGGCAGACUCCUGCAGGUAUGUCCUAUUUUGUUGGUCCAGGGCAUUAACAUAUUUUGUUCAAGAUUUGAUUUAGAAGUUAUUCUUCAUCACAUCAAGACAAAUAUCACCUUAUAUUUUGUUUGGUGUGGGCCUUAUAGCUUAUUUCUUAUCGCAGAUUGUUGUUAACACACCUGACAGCUGUAAUUCAAGAAAGUUGUGUUCAGGGAAAUUGAUAAAGAACAACAAUGUAACUUACUAUUUUUUCCCUUCUAUACUUUGUGAUUUUAAAAACAUCUUUAUUGUUAGCGAUUACCAUACGAACAAUGGUUAUACGAUAUUAUUUUCAUAUCCUUUUUUAUUUAGAAACUAUCAGAUUGUUCAUUCCAAUUACUUCAAGUUUAUUUCUAGAGCUGCUAGGAUUAUUUUAUGGUUCCUUACUUGCAUCCAGACUGGCCAUAGAUUUUAUGCUACCUUCUAUGAGCAUACUGCAAUGAUACAGUCUUAAUUCUAAUAUAUAGAUGUUUCGUCCCAGCUCUUCGGGCUCUUAUGCUACACUUUCCAAUUGGUGCUGAGACUAAUGUUUUGUGAGGUUUUUCGUCCUACUAGGUGUGUGGGUUUUACAUUGUCUUGCACGAUCCAUGCCGUGUUAGUCAAAGUCAAGGCAUUGCCGUCUUGAAUAUGUUGUUUGCCAUGUCUACAGUUCUGACAGUUUCAACUAUACGAGUCAGUUUUUUUGUUCUUUCUGUCCUCUGCCUUUGAGGACAGAGCAUUUGUCCUCAUUUCUACUCUAUUUUUUCACAGUAAACAUUUUCAUGAGAGGUCGUUAUUAGCAAGCUGAGGUAGGAUAAGCUUUUGCCAACCGCAGGUAUAAAGAUUGAAGAGGUGAUAAGGAGGCUGGGAGGGUAACAAGGAUGGGCAACGGUGCACCCUAUAUAGGAUGGACCUUCCCAGGCGAACAGGGAGCAUAAGCACCUCAAAAGGCAGAACUCAUUUUGAGUUUCUCAAAGAGCCGUGAGUCUUGGUCCAAGUGUGGAAUUGGACCUGCUCGGAGCAGUGCCUUUUAGUCUGAAGGUUGAGAUUCAAUUUGCUCGCUAUAGGACAUAAUAAUUAGUAUUUCUGGUGUUUGGAUAAUGAUGUAUAUGUGCCUUGCUAUUUUAGUUUUGUAAUGAGCAGUUCCACAAAUUAUUGAAUUGUUUUUAUCUUGCA